rnacentral:rRNA from 1 species
CUAGCGACUUCAGAGUUUGAUCCUGGCUCAGGAUGAACGCUGGCGGCGUGCAUAACACAUUCAAGUCGAACGAAGCACUUAAGCGGAGUCCUUCGGGACAAAGGUUUUGUGACUUAGUGGCGGACGGGUGAGUAACGCGUGAGCAAUCUGCCUACAAGAGGGGAAGUAACAGCCGGAAACAGCUGCUAAUACCGCAUAACAUAUGACGAUCGCAUGUUUGUCAUAUCAAAGAUUUAUCGCUUGUAGAUGAGCUCGCGUCUGAUUAGGUAGUUGGUGAGGUAACGGCCCACCAAGCCGACGAUCAGUAGCCGGACUGAGAGGUUGACCGGCCACAUUGGAACUGAGAUACGGUCCAG